AAAAAAAAGAGAUGCGUAAGUAUUAUCACAAAUACUUAGUGAGGCGAUCCUCCCAUCUACGAGCUAUACACACAAGCAGAUAAAAGGGUAUAAU
rnacentral:sRNA from 1 species